rnacentral:rRNA from 1 species
GCGACUCGGCAUCGAGAUGUAAUUAAAGAUUUAUCGGUAAAAGAUGGCUAUGCGUCCUAUUAGUUAGUUGGUAAGGUAACGGCUUACCAAGACAUCGAUAGGUAGGGGUCCUGAGAGGGAGAUCCCCCACACUGGUACUGAGACACGGACCAGACUCCUACGGGGAGGCAGCAGUGAGGAAUAUUGGGCAAUGGAGGCAACUCUGACCCAGCCAUGCCGCGUGCAGGAAGACGGCCCUAUGGGUUGUAAACUGCUUUUAUACGGGAAGAAACACUCGUACGUGUACAGCUUGACGGUACUGUAAGAAUAAGGGACCGGGCUAACUCCGUGCCAGCAGCCGCGGUAAUACGGGAGGGUCCGAGCGUUAUCCCGGGAAUCAUUGGGUUUAAAGGGGGUCCCGCA